UCUCCAACCCCCCUGGCCCCAAAAUCCAACACUCAGCUAUCCCCCUAAGUGCCCUUCACUUCCAAAGGAGCCACCAACAAUUCCAACUCCACUACAAUCUUCCCAAUAGCAAUCUCAAAAUCAAGCAGCAGCAGCAAGCAACAGGUCUAGAUAUAGAACUGAUUUGAACAAUAGUUGGGAUCAAAGGAUUUUCUUCUUCUUCAUGCUAUAUGCUUUGUGAGUUUCUGAAUGACAACUCACCUUUGGCUUGGAUCAAAGGAUUUUCCCUGCCCCAAAAAAGCAUGGAUGACCAUAAUUGUGAUACUCAUGGAAUUAGACAAAUAAAUUCAGAAUUUUUGCUGAUUUUCAGGGAAUAGGAAACAUUAAUCAUAAUCUACAAUUAAAAAGAUCUAACGAAACUGGGUAUCAAUGUAAACUGAGUACAGUUUUUUCCUAUUCAAUUCAGAAAGGGAAACCCCCUCCUUAAUGACCUACUGAAGCUCAGGGAUUUCAAUUCUGAUCAAUUGCAUAAUAUGCAUGUAAUUGAAUUUAGUUAUGUGCUCUUAGUUAUUUUUAACUAAUCCUAAUUGGAAAAAUAAUCAAUUGCAGGUUGAGUAAUACUCUCAAGUCAGGGGGUGGCUAACUUUGUCAGAGGAAGUGCAUGCUUGGAGUGAUCUUAAUUGUUAUUGCCAUUGAUUUAUGCUUGGC
rnacentral:misc_RNA from 1 species